AUUGAACGCUGGCGGCAGGCUUAACACAUGCAAGUCGAGCGGAGUGAUGGUGCUUGCACUAUCACUUAGCGGCGGACGGGUGAGUAAUGCUUAGGAAUCUGCCUAUUAGUGGGGGACAACAUCUCGAAAGGGAUGCUAAUACCGCAUACGUCCUAAGGGAGAAAGCAGGGGAUCACUUGUGACCUUGCGCUAAUAGAUGAGCCUAAGUCGGAUUAGCUAGUUGGUGGGGUAAAGGCCUACCAAGGCGACGAUCUGUAGCGGGUCUGAGAGGAUGAUCCGCCACACUGGGACUGAGACACGGCCCAGACUCCUACGGGAGGCAGCAGUGGGGAAUAUUGGACAAUGGGGGGAACCCUGAUCCAGCCAUGCCGCGUGUGUGAAGAAGGCCUUAUGGUUGUAAAGCACUUUAAGCGAGGAGGAGGCUCUUUUGGUUAAUACCCAAGAUGAGUGGACGUUACUCGCAGAAUAAGCACCGGCUAACUCUGUGCCAGCCGCCGCUGUAAGAC
rnacentral:rRNA from 1 species